rnacentral:rRNA from 1 species
GUGUCAGCCGCCGCGGUAAUACGGGGGGUGCGAGCGUUGUCCGGAUUCACUGGGCGUAAAGGGCGCGUAGGCGGCCCGAUCAGUCGGACUUGUAAGUGCGGGGCUCACCCCCGUGUUGGGUCCGGGACGGUCGGGCUUGGGCGCGGUAGAGGGGUGCGGAAUGCCGGGUGUAGUGGUGAAAUGCGUAGAGAUCCGGCGGAACACCGGUGGCGCAGGCGGCACCCUGGGCCGAGGCCGACGCUGAGGCGCGAGAGCGUGGGGAGCGAACCGGAUUAGAUACCCGUGUAGUCC